rnacentral:rRNA from 1 species
CAGUCGCCGCGGGAAUACGUAGGUCCCGAGCGUUGUCCGGAUUUAUUGGGCGUAAAGCGAGCGCAGGCGGUUAGAUAAGUCUGAAGUUAAAGGCUGUGGCUUAACCAUAGUACGCUUUGGAAACUGUUUAACUUGAGUGCAAGAGGGGAGAGUGGGAUUCCAUGUGUAGCGGUGAAAUGCGUAGAUAUAUGAAGGAACACCGGUGGCGAAAGCAGCUCUCUGGCUUGUAACUGACGCUGAGGCUCGAAAGCGUGGGGAGCAAACAGGAUUAGAUACCCCGGUAGUCCCUGUCUCUUAUACA